AUAAGGGACGAAAACGGGGGUAACAAGUCGGAUGCCAUCAGAACUCCGAAGUUAAGCGUGCUUGGGCGAGUGUAGUAUUAGGAUGGGUGACCUCCUGGGAAGUCCUCGUGUUACAUUCC
rnacentral:rRNA from 1 species